GACGAACGCUGGCGGCGUGCUUAACACAUGCAAGUCGAACGGUAAGGCCCUUCGGGGUACACGAGUGGCGAACGGGUGAGUAACACGUGGGUGAUCUGCCCUGCACUUCGGGAUAAGCCUGGGAAACUGGGUCUAAUACCGGAUAGGACUCCGGACUGCAUGGUCUGGGGUGGAAAGCUUUUGCGGUGUGGGAUGGGCCCGCGGCCUAUCAGCUUGUUGGUGGGGUGAUGGCCUACCAAGGCGACGACGGGUAGCCGGCCUGAGAGGGUGACCGGCCACACUGGGACUGAGAGACGGCCCAGACUCCUACGGGAGGCAGCAGUGGGGAAUAUUGCACAAUGGGCGCAAGCCUGAUGCAGCGACGCCGCGUGAGGGAUGACGGCCUUCGGGUUGUAAACCUCUUUCAGCAUCGACGAAGCGAAAGUGACGGUAGGUGCAGAAGAGGGACCGGCCAACUACGUGCCAGCCGCCGCGGUAA
rnacentral:rRNA from 1 species